AAAAAACCAGGAGCAACAUACAUGAACAAAAUGGGCAAAACCGAGUUCAACUUUGAACAUGAUACAAGCUAAAAUUUUUACAACUCUUAAACAAUGACGUGUAAAGAAUGCUAUAUGGCCUAGCCUAUUUCAACAAAUCACCGCUCUAGUUGGUAUACAUUUGCCACAGAACAAACCUAUAAAAGAGUUGAUUUGCUGUAUGUCCAGCCCAAGGACCUCCUCCUUGUGCUUGGGGGUGCGGUGCGAAGCUAAGCCCGAACAUCUCCUUCAGAGCUUGCCCCUGUUCUACAAACCUUACCAGCUUUCCAACUAUGGCAGCACUCUCCAUAAUGUGGUUAAUAUCCUUCGUGUUGCUCCACAAGCUGUUAGCCAAUUGUAGCCUCCUACGUUUUGAGUUCAACCCUAUACCCCACUUCUGGUAGAUUCUCUUUCUCUCUUCUUCUGAUAACCUCUUUUGCAUCAGCUUGCUUAGCAUUCCUCUCUCCUUAUGAAGGGCUUUGAUGCUUGUUGCCAAUGUCAAUGUCUGACUCCAACCACCUCCCACAGAAUGAUUCCCUUGAGUAAGUGUUUCCUUAAGGAACGAAAGUCUCCUAAGCUCCACUUCCAUGUAUACAGAAUCUGUUGGAUCGCCUUUAAAGAGUAGGAAAAAGUAAGCUCUAUGAACCAAGGAAACAUUACAAGUUUGCCAAAGUUCAAUUAUCUCUCCCCGCUGCCUCUCAAAUGCCAAUGGCCAAUCACUAGAAGUUUCUAAUGCUUCACCCAUGGGAUCCAAUCCAACAUCUUUCGCAUUCUUUUCAAAUUUGCGAUCCAUUUGGUCUGUCUCCCGAACCUGACCAUCAACUAGUUGCUUCUCAUACUCCUGCUUGGCCAUCUCCUGCAGUCCUUCAACAAAAGUUUGGAUGCU
rnacentral:misc_RNA from 1 species